CAGUUCUGUUUCGAUGACUUUUUAGUUUCCUGUAGAAACUUCUUUUUCUUAUACAGAUCUGGUUGACGGUGGCUUAGGUCUUGUGGCGAUGUAAACAUAAUAGUGGUUGAAUUUCUCUCUCGAAGGAUGAAAGAGGGUAGAUCUAUUGACAACAUCAAAAUAUAUCAACGAAAGCUUCAAAGGGAUGCAUGCGAAGAGCUUUCAAUCGGAUAGGUAUAGCUUGUCCCAGAUUUAAUCAUGGAGACAUCUUCAUAAAGAAUCAGUAGCGUCUUUCUGUCUUGUUCGUGGAAUGGUUCCUUAUAAUAUCUUUGUUAUAUGAAAAGACAGAAGGACCGGGGAGCAUGUAACGACAGAAGGACGGGGGAUAAAAUCAUAUGAAGAUCUUAGCUGAGUUUUCUAACCGAAAAGAAAGGGAUGGUGCUGAAGUUAUGCCUCAGGGUCCAAGGCGGCGCGAAACAUGGCCAUCUUAAAGGCCAGAGGAGAAGAAGUAUAACAGAAUUGUAAGACCGGCUCAUGAGGAUCCGCAGGAACAGAGAGAGAAACAGAGAGGCAACACUGAGUGGGAGAGAUAUUUACAGUUGGGAAGGAGAGACGCUGAAGAGAUUGUGCAGAAACAUAGACAGAGAAACAUCUCUGAUUGUCGGAGAUACUUAGAGAUGGGAAUGAGAGAUGGUCAAGAGAUUGUGCAGAGACAUAGACUGGUAGAGACCAGUGAUCAAAAGACUCAAGAAAGUGUGCAGCAACAUAGACAGAGAGAGACCAGUCAUGACAGAGUCAUGGUGAAGGAGACAGAGAAAUGAACGUCGGAGAUAUUUUGAGAUGGAAAGGAGAGACGGUGAAGAGAUUGUGCAGCAACAUAGUCAGAGAGAGACCAGUGAUGACAGAGUCAUGAUGAAGGAGACAGAGAAAUGAGUUACAACAAAGGGAAGGCACACUAAUCAGUUAGUAAACAUAAGUAGGAAAAGUAGAUCAUCAUCUAAUACAAUCAGCAUAUGCUUAUAUUGUUGCCUUUAUAAUUUUUGACGCAGGAUAUUAGAGAUGGAGCGUCAGAAGUACCAGUUAUGAAGAUGCAAAAAAGGACUUCGAUGUUUACUUGAGGACAGAGUUAUAUUACGAGACAGAAGGACCGGGGAGAAAGUGAUAAUAGAAAAUCUCAGGCACCGUCAUAGUGAAGGAGACAGAGAGAUGAGUUAUAAGAAAGGGAAGGCUCACAUUUUCCAGUCAGUAAAGAUCAUUCUUGAAAAGUACAUAACAUUGUCGCCAAUUUAUUUUUUGAUGCAGUAAAUUAGAGAUGGAGAGAAGCAAUUAGCAGUUAUGAAGAUGCAAAAAAAAACUUCAAUGCUUACAGGAAAACAACCAUAUUGUGAAGUAUGAAAUCCUAUUUGGAGUUUGUCUCUCUUGCGACUCAUGAUGCAUGUGAUAUCGCUAUAGAGGUGUUCUUUGCACGAGAAAAAUGAAGAAAUAAUGGUGAGAAGAAUGACCUUGGUUAAGUUGAGAUUGCAAGUAAUAUCGAAAAGAUACCAUCUCAAAUUGAAGUUUUUAUACCUGUAUGGAUGGCGUGUUGCUCAUAAGAAAGGUGGAUAAAAUUUUCGAAUAUUUCUACAGGGUUUCACAGCUUCUGUCAACUUGUCAGAAAGCAAGGAGAUAUUGUGAUAGCUGAUUGGCGAGAAUAUUGGAAAACAGCCUAAUUUGUAUCUUAUUGUUAUUAAUACCAGCAAUUAAAGGGAGUUAUUGUCGGCAAAAUCUUGGUUAUUGUUUCUGCAAAUCGAAAACUUAUUUUGAUCCAUAACAAUCGUGUUGGUUAAAGGUAA